UACGUAGGGGGCAAGCGUUAUCCGGAUUUACUGGGUGUAAAGGGAGCGUAGACGGUUGUGUAAGUCUGAAGUGAAAUCCCCCGGCUCAACCGGGGAACUGCUUUGGAAACUAUACGACUAGAGUGCAGGAGAGGUAAGUGGAAUUCCUAGUGUAGCGGUGAAAUGCGUAGAUAUUAGGAGGAACACCAGUGGCGAAGGCGGCUUACUGGACUGUAACUGACGUUGAGGCUCGAAAGCGUGGGGAG
rnacentral:rRNA from 1 species